rnacentral:rRNA from 1 species
AAAGCGUCCGUAGGCGGCUUUUUAAGUCUGUUGUUAAAGCUCAGGGCUUAACCCUGAAUCGGCAAUGGAAACUGAGAGGCUUGAGUGUGGUAGGGGUAGAGGGAAUUCCCGGUGUAGCGGUGAAAUGCGUAGAUAUCGGGAAGAACACCAGUGGCGAAGGCGCUCUACUGGGCCACAACUGACGCUGAUGGACGAAAGCUAGGGGAGCGAAAGGGAUUAGAUACCCCUGU